GAUGAAGAACGUAGCGAAAUGCGAUAAGUAAUGCGAAUUGCAGAAUUUCCGUGAGUCAUCGAAUCUUUGAACGCACAUUGCGCCCCUUGGUAUUCCGAGGGGCAUGCCUGUUCGAGCGUCAUUAUAACCCCUCAAGCUCAGCUUGGUAUUGGGGCCUGCCAUCCUGGCAGCCCUUAAAAUCAGUGGCGGUGCCAUCCGGCUCUAAGCGUAGUAACUCUUCUCGCUAUGGAGUCCUGGUGGAUGCUUGCCAUUAAUCUUUUAACUUCUAUGGUUGACCUCGGAUCAGGUAGGGAUACCCGCUGAACUUAAGCAUAUCAAUAAGCGGAGGA
rnacentral:misc_RNA from 1 species